CGCGGGAGCGCAACUGACGCUGAAGCUCGAAAGUGCGGGUAUCGAACAGGAUUAGAUACCCUGGUAGUCCGCACGGUAAACGAUGGAUGCCCGCUUUUCGGUCAUUAGACCGUGAGGCCAAGUGAAAACAUUAAGCAUCCCACCUGGGGAGUACGCCGGCAACGGUGAAACUCAAAGGAAUUGACGGGGGCCCGCACAAGCGGAGGAACAUGUGGUUUAAUUCGAUGAUACGCGAGGAACCUUACCCGGGCUUGAAUUGCAGAUGAAGGAUCCAGAGAUGGUGACGCCCUUCGGGGCAUCUGUGAAGGUGCUGCAUGGUUGUCGUCAGCUCGUGCCGUGAGGUGUCGGCUCAAGUGCCAUAACGAGCGCAACCCCUCUCUUCAGUUGCCAUCAGGCUAUGCUGGGCACUCUGGAGACACUGCCACCGCAAGGUGUGAGGAAGGUGGGGAUGACGUCAAAUCAGCACGGCCUUUACGUCCGGGGCUACACACGUGUUACAAUGGGGGGUACAGAAAGCCGGCUGCCCGCAAGGUCAGUCCAAUCAAGAAAGCCCUCCUCAGUUCGGACUGGGGUCUGCAACCCGACCCCACGAAGCUGGAUC
rnacentral:rRNA from 1 species